GUACUAGGGAAUCACUGAAUACAUUUGAACAACAAAGUGAUGUGGAUAUACCUCUUUCUUUAGGAUCUGUCAGCUUUUUGGAGGAUGGAGUUGAGAGAGGAGUGACUUGAAGCAUGGAAUCCAAUUAAGAGAUUAUCACAAGAAUCUAGGAUUAUUCUACAUUUGCCUCUGGAAUAUAUGUCUUUUCUCAACAACUUUUAUAAUUUCCUUGAAGGUAGGAAUUUCUUUUUAAUUUUACUUCUUUGAUAUCUCUUAGAACAUCUAGAACCAUGUU
rnacentral:lncRNA from 1 species